AUCCAGAUGAUGAAUUCCAAACAGUACGAAAUGUGCAUCCUGGAU
rnacentral:hammerhead_ribozyme from 1 species